GUUCCAGGGUCCUUCCGGCACGGGCUGCGGCACCGGCGGCGAUUUAAAGGGCUAGAGCUGCUGGCUGGAGGAGGAGGCUGUACCAGCCCGGGAGUGAGAGCCUGUGGGGAUCCCAGCUCCGGGGGGGUCUCCCCCCUUUAGAAAAUGGGGAGGGAGAAUUUUGUUGUUCGCUUUUCAGUAGGGCAGUGAGUGAACGCCACGCUCCGCUUCCUUUUUCAGCCUCCCUGUUCAGAUUAGCCGGGCUGGAGGAGAUAUAGGCCUGGUCCAGAGUAGUUCCAAGAUGCCUCAAUCAAGAUCAGGGAUCCCAUGUGCUAACUGCUGUCUCUACACAAAGUAAGAGAGAGUUCCCUGCACCCAAAGAGCUUGCAGUUUAAAUAUGCAAGACCAACAAAGGAGUGGAAACAGAAAGCCACUUCACAGGCUGCUAGGCACUUAACAGAACAUACCAGAAGACACAAUCCCUGGAGAGAAGAGCUUGCUAUCUAAUCAUAUCCACUAUACAUGAGAAAACUACUAAGAGUUACGUACAAUAGACGGUGUAAUAGAAGAAUGAGUGACUCAGGGUUUAUUCUACUCUUCUUAAUUUGUUCAAAUAACAACUGUAAAAAAACAAAAGCAUAAGAUUGUUUUGAAGUGGCACACAGUUCAUGCAACCAUAUGCAACAUAACAGAGACAUAUGAUCAUCUAGUUCUUAUCCCUGUAAAAAUAACAGGAACUGCUUCCUCUUCUUUUCUGCAAAUCAGCGUAAUUUCUUACUUUAAUAAUGUUAUUAUUUGCCAAUAGAAAGAUUGACUCAAGAAAACUAUUGAUGACUUAAUUCUGAACAUGUGCCUUCAGGAGCUUCAUGAGUACAUGUGAGGGCAGACUUUGGCUCUGAAUCCUCAUUAUCUUACAAAGGCACAGUGUGAUCAUAUGGCAUGAUCAUGUUUGAGGGUUGUGUGUACUAUCCAGCUGUUCAAAUGCAAAUAGACAUAAUCAGUUUUAUCUGUUGUAUUCUUCAUCUAACCCCCCAUGCAAGAAUAGGAGAAGACAGCAGAAGGUACAUUAUGAGUGAGUAAUGGAAAUCAAGAGCUGAUUCUUAUUUUCUGCCCUAACCACACUUAUUCAGGAUUGCAGUCUGGGCUCUUUACACCAGUGCUUCUCAAAGCC